rnacentral:rRNA from 1 species
UACGUAGGGUGCAAGCGUUAAUCGGAAUUACUGGGCGUAAAGCGUGCGCAGGCGGUCUGUUAAGUCAGAUGUGAAAUCCCCGGGCUUAACCUGGGAACUGCAUUUGAAACUGGCAGGCUUGAGUCUUGUAGAGGGGGGUAGAAUUCCAGGUGUAGCGGUGAAAUGCGUAGAGAUCUGGAGGAAUACCGGUGGCGAAGGCGGCCCCCUGGACAAAGACUGACGCUCAGGUGCGAAAGCGUGGGGAGCAAACAGG